rnacentral:rRNA from 1 species
UGGGGAAUUUUGGACAAUGGGGGAAACCCUGAUCCAGCCAUCCCGCGUGUGCGAUGAAGGCCUUCGGGUUGUAAAGCACUUUUGGCAGGAAAGAAACGUCAUGGGUUAAUACCCCGUGAAACUGACGGUACCAGCAGAAUAAGCACCGGCUAACUACGUGCCAGCAGCCGCGGUAAUACGUAGGGUGCAAGCGUUAAUCGGAAUUACUGGGCGUAAAGCGUGCGCAGGCGGUUCGGAAAGAAAGAUGUGAAAUCCCAGGGCUCAACUUUGGAACUGCAUUUGAAACUACCGGGCUAGAGUGUGGCAGAGGGAGGUGGAAUUCCGGGUGUAGCAGUGAAAUGCGUAGAUAUGCGGAGGAACACCGAUGGCGAAGGCAGCCUCCUGGGAUAACACUGACGCUCAGGCACGAAAGCGUGGGGAGCAAACAGG